AGUGAACGCUGGCGGUAGGCCUAACACAUGCAAGUCGAACGGCAGCACAGUGAGAGCUUGCCUUUACGGGUGGCGAGUGGCGGGCGGGUGAGGAAUACAUCGGCAUCUACUUUUUCGUGGGGGAUAACGUAGGGAAACUUACGCUAAUACCGCAUACGACCUACGGGUGAAAGCAGGGGAUCUUCGGACCUUGCGCGACUGAAUGAGCCGAUGUCGGAUUAGCUAGUUGGCGGGGUAAAGGCCCACCAAGGCGACGAUCCGUAGCUGGUCUGAGAGGAUGAUCAGCCACACUGGAACUGAGACACGGUCCAGACUCCUACGGGAGGCAGCAGUGGGGAAUAUUGGACAAUGGGCGCAAGCCUGAUCCAGCCAUGCCGCGUGGGUGAAGAAGGCCUUCGGGUUGUAAAGCCCUUUUGUUAGGAAAGAAAAACAGCAGGUUAAUACCCCGCUGUUCUGACGGUACCCAAAGAAUAAGCACCGGCUAACUUCGUG
rnacentral:rRNA from 1 species